AAUCAUCUUGGCCUCUGCUAGAGUAGGACAGAAGCCCUAAAGAGAAGUUGGAUGAAUUGGAGAGACGUAAGGGCCAGAAUCUGCAGGAGUUCCUGAGAAAGUGGGCUUGAAGGCCUGAGCUAAAAGAAGGAGUCCAGAACUAGUUUUGCUCUGUCAUCCUUGGACAUGGAGCCACCGUCAGUCAUACAUCUGGCCCCUAUCGCUAGGUGGUUACACUGGCCCUCGGUGAAUGGAACCCAGGAAAGUCAUGCUUGGCUGAAGGGUGGGAGUAAGCAGAAGCAUAGGACAGGUUUAGGCCUUUGACGAUACGGGCUUGAUUGACAGUCAGAGUGACUGUCUUUUGACAGUCUGAUGUCCUUUACCUGGACUUGCAGGCAUGGUGAGAAACCGCAGCACGUCUUGCAUUUCUUUUGCAUUUGCCCUAAUUCUUGGAAUAGCAUGGAGAAAUCGCUCACUGCGUCCAGAAUGGCAAUUGCGCAGAUGCUGGUCGUGUCAUUCUUGAAGCCUUAACUGAAGAAUGUUGAGUGAAGGAACCAUUUACAGAAGAGCAGGCUGUGUUAGAAGAACCAGCAAUGGAUGGAGAAGCACCCAGGUCUUAGCAACCGGGAAGCUGCUUCCACCCCAGGGACCGAGGAGAAGAGAAAGUUUCUGUGAGCUGUUCUCCUGUUCUUGCUUCUGAGUGGUUGCUGACAACUGGAAGGCAGAGCCUAGGGAGCCUGAGUGAUGUGCUUAGUACAUGGAGUUUUACUCUUGGAGCACAGAGCAAGGCAGAGAAGGGCAGAGAAUGAAUCUGGAGAAAGCAGAGACAAAAAAUAAAAUCACAGAAAGUGUA